GACGAACGCUGGCGGCGUGCUUAACACAUGCAAGUCGAACGGAAAGGCCCUGCUUUUGUGGGGUGCUCGAGUGGCGAACGGGUGAGUAACACGUGAGUAACCUGCCCUUGACUUUGGGAUAACUUCAGGAAACUGGGGCUAAUACCGGAUAGGAGCUCCUGCUGCAUGGUGGGGGUUGGAAAGUUUCGGCGGUUGGGGAUGGACUCGCGGCUUAUCAGCUUGUUGGUGGGGUAGUGGCUUACCAAGGCUUUGACGGGUAGCCGGCCUGAGAGGGUGACCGGCCACAUUGGGACUGAGAUACGGCCCAGACUCCUACGGGAGGCAGCAGUGGGGAAUAUUGCACAAUGGGCGGAAGCCUGAUGCAGCAACGCCGCGUGCGGGAUGACGGCCUUCGGGUUGUAAACCGCUUUCGCCUGUGACGAAGCGUGAGUGACGGUAAUGGGUAAAGAAACACCGGCUAACUACGU
rnacentral:rRNA from 1 species